rnacentral:rRNA from 1 species
UACGUAGGGGGCUAGCGUUGUCCGGAAUCAUUGGGCGUAAAGCGCGCGUAGGCGGCCCAGUAAGUCCGUUGUAAAAGUCAAAGGCUCAACCUUUGAAAGCCGAUGGAUACUGCCGGGCUAGAGUCCGGAAGAGGCGAGUGGAAUUCCUGGUGUAGCGGUGGAAUGCGCAGAUAUCAGGAGGAACACCAAUAGCGAAGGCAGCUCGCUGGGACGGUACUGACGCUGAGGCGCGAAAGCGUGGGGAGCGAACAGG